AAAUCUUCAACUUCUAUGUUUGAUGGCUUUCGGGCCAAGAAACAUAAAAGGUGAGAUCUGGGUCGUUUGCCUUUGCGGCAAUGACUUUAAUUGCAACGUCUUAGAACCAAUGACUGAAAUGUCUUGGGCAAACGCAUGAAUGAGGCAACUCACAAGUACGUCUGUUCCUUUUGACAGGGAUGUUUUGGUGCUCAGACUCAACUGAUUAACCAAAGUUGGGUUGCGGUAGCAGCUUUUCUUUGAAC
rnacentral:misc_RNA from 1 species